CUAGUGCUUGUUCAGAAAAGGAAAAACCAGUGCUCAACAUGAAUGUGGAGGACCAAUGCUUCGAGCAUUUCUCAGACCAAGACGAAGAAGACGACGAUUUUACCAUUUUGCAAAUUUCUUCUCUCCGUAUACCACAAUUUCACCCUUCAUUCUCUCCAUCGGUAGAGCAGAGGAAGCUAUUGGAGACCCAGAAAAAGGUGUUCAAGACUCGGACAAGUCCUUUUAGUCCAACCCAUGACACCCAACGAAAAGUUCCUGGUGACCAUCAGAAGCCUCAAGAGUAGGGUGUAUUCACCAAAAUGUUUAGUUAAUUAGCUUAUAUACUUUGGUGCUAGAAGUAUUGAGUUUGAUGCAUUUGAUUGAUUGAUUGCCUAGCUGUAAACGGAAGAGAACCAUGUUCGAGAAUGUUGACAAUCCUGAAGAUUCUUCAGUCAAAAUCCAAGUUGAAGAGAUCAAAGCAAAAAUAGGAGUGGAAUGCCCCAUCUUUGUGAAGGCUAUGCAGCCAUCAAAUGUUGCCAGUGGCUUUUUGUUGGCAUUGCCUAAGCAAUUCUGCCAUUCGCAUUUGCCAUCCCAUGAUGCAACAAUAAUUUUAGAAGAUGAAACCGGGGAGAAAUACAGAACAAAGUUUAUUGUGCAAAAGGACAAGAGCAUACUGAGUAGUGGAUGGAGA